rnacentral:tRNA from 1 species
AAUGGGAUGGCUGAUUUAGGCAGUAAAUUGUAAAUUUAUUUAAGGUUUGUUACCUCUCAUUA